UACAGAGGGUGCGAGCGUUGUCCGGAAUCAUUGGGCGUAAAGAGCGUGUAGGCGGCCCGGUAAGUCCGCUGUGAAAGUCCAGGGCUCAACCCUGGAAUGCCGGUGGAAACUGUCGGGCUAGAGUCCGGAAGAGGCGAGUGGAAUUCCUGGUGUAGCGGUGAAAUGCGCAGAUAUCAGGAGGAACACCAAUGGCGAAGGCAGCUCGCUGGGACGGUACUGACGCUGAGACGCGAAAGCGUGGGGAGCAAACAGG
rnacentral:rRNA from 1 species